rnacentral:rRNA from 1 species
AUACGUAGGGGGCGAGCGUUAUCCGGAUUUAUUGGGCGUAAAGCGUGUGUAGGCGGUUUAUUAAGUAUAAAAUUAGAGCCUGGAGCUUAACUCCAGUUCGUUUUAUAAACUGGUAGACUUGAGUAUGGUAGAGGCAAAUGGAAUUUCUAGUGUAGCGGUAAAAUGCGUAGAUAUUAGAAGGAACACCGGUGGCGAAGGCGAUUUGCUGGGCCAUUACUGACGCUGAGACACGAAAGCGUGGGGAGCGAAUAGGAUUAGAUACCCUAGUAGUCCACGCCGUAAACGAUGAGUACUAAGUGUUGGGAUUUCCCAGUGCUGAAGUUAACACAUUAAGUACUCCGCCUGAGUAGUACGGUCGCAAGGCUGAA